rnacentral:lncRNA from 1 species
UUUUUUUUUUUUUUUUAAGCUGUGUGAACUUGGGCAAAUUACUGAAGUUCUCUUGCCUUUGUGUCUUCAUCUGUAGGAUGGGGCUUAUGUUGCACUCACCUAUGGUGAGACUAACGGAAUUAAUGCGUGAUGAGGACUUGGAUGAGCACUAGGCACACAGGCACUCCAUGAAAGGCAGCCGUCAUUACCAUUUUUAGGAUUCCUGCCCUUCUCUGCAUGUCACUUCCCUCCAGCCACCAGUCCAGUCCGAGAGAGAGAACUCUGUAGGGAAAGGCAGAUAGAGAGCUCAUGGAAAAGCAAGAGGAGAAUGGGCACUUCUGCUCCAUGGGGAUGCUGAGGAAAGUAGGGGCAGGAGAGGAAGGGCAAGUAAGUUCAGGUAAGGCAGCCAGGAGGUGUGAUGCUCUAAUUUUCGCUUGUAUCACGCGAGGCCUUGGGGUGCUGGAAAGAAGCUGGCUCAAGUGGGAGGAGCUGGUUGGAACUUCAGCAAGAAAGCUGGAGAUGAGACACAAGGAAAGACUUCCUGCUCAGGAGCACAGGCAGACAGAGCCAGGGGACUUUCGUGCCCUUGGCAGGGGGGUGGGAGACCCAGGUGGGGGGUGGGGGUCCUAGGGGUCUAGCUCCACCCAUCCUGCACAGUGGCCAAGGGGCCUGGGGAGGCAGGACUUCUGUUGGGACAGGAGGGGAGAGGAGGAAAGCAUCCAGCCCCAAGCCCAUCCUCAAGCGGGCAGCCGGCCCUCCGACCCACGCUAUCUGGCGGUAGAAGUCAGAGGCUCUGGGAGAGUUCAGCCUGGGGCCCGGACAGAAGUGGGUGUGGGGCCCCUCAGAUGCUCGACUGCCAGGAAUAAACAGACCUCCUUCUGUUCCCAGCCCUGGCCUCCUCCCUACGGGAUCCAGGAUGUCUGUGUUUCUUCUUCGCUGCUUUGUCUAAACACUGUGUGUGGGAUGACGUAUGAAGGGGCCGGGAAGCCUGGGUCCGGUCUCUUCCUCACUGGACCAUCCAGGCCUUCUCGGCUCCCCCAUCAACCUCUGGCACGGACUCAUCCCUGGCCUUCUCCUCUUGCCCACAGGAGGGCUCUGGCACCGGCAGUUUCCAGACGCUCCAUGUCAGCUGCAGGCUGGAGAGCACCCUCCGUGGCCCCCAUUCUCCUCUCCUCAGGCAGAGCCUCUAUGGGGGGGUUCAACCCUGCCAGAGCAUCCUCCUGGCCUUCGUUUACUGCUCACUCCAUUCUCUGGGAUAUUUGAAGCUCUUUGCUGACCUUGGGGGCCCAGGACUGGGUGGGUGUGGUAUGCAGGGGCUGGGGUACGGGUACAGGGAAUGGGAUGAAUGGAGGCAAGGAGGCUCAAGGCUUUCUGGACCCUGGCUGGCCUCCAGGAGCCGCUGUCAAAACUCUUCAGUCUCCAUAGGCAAGAGCAGACAAGCCCUUGGGAGCCUCUGGGGGACUCGGCACAAUCCUGGCCAGGAACUUGGCUUCAGGAAGCCUGGAGUCAGGUCUAUGGGCCGAAGAAACCCCGGUUCUCCCUGUUGGUGCUUAACCAGAUUCUCCACGGCCCCCUCAGAGCCACACUGCACUGCUUUUAGCAAUCCCCAGAAGGGGAGCAUUGCUUGAACUCAAAACAGCCCCCAGAGCAGACGUAGGCUUGGGUCUUUGGCCUCAGGAGCUCUUAGGAUGAGGGUCUUCACACCACUAGGGAACUGCAAUGGCAACUACCAAAUACUGGCUUCCCAGGAGGCGGCUGCUGCAGCAGCCAGCACUUCCUUUUCCAGGUUUGCCAGCCACCAGAAGCAGGUGACAAGGGGCCGCCCCGUCAGCACCAGCACUUCCCAGUACACACGUUUGUUGGGAUGGGCACUUAGCUACUAAGUCCUGAGCUAAAAGCCCAUUUCAGUGGAGUCCAGGUGACUCAAUGACCUGUGGCUUUCAGACUUGACUCACAGCAAAAAGGCAUUUCAUAAUCCAAUCAAGAUGUAUGUACAAAACUAAAACACAUUCCCAAAUCAAUACUUACGAUUGAGAAGUGUGAUGUAUACUGAUCUAUACUAUCCCAUUAAAAAAAAAAAAAAAAAAAAAGAAAAAAAGCUGGGGCACGUGGGUGGCUCAGUUGGUUGUCUGCCUUUGACUCAGGUCAUGAUCUCGGGGUCCUGAGAUCGAGCCCCUGUUCAGUAAGGAGCCUGCUUCUCCCUUUAUCCACCCUCGCUACCCUGUUCAUGCUCUCAAAAAAUAAGAUCUUAAAAAGGCCAGUGAUGAAGUUACACAUGUGACAGACACAGAAAUACACCACACACACACACACACACACACACACACUCGUGCGCACGCGUGGGUGGGUGGGUGAGUCAGGCCUGGACCACAACAUGGUCCUGGCUAAGACGUUGUACUACAGUCAUUCGAGAUGCUACCACUGGGGGGAGCUGGGUGAAGAGCACACAGAAUUUCUAUAUUAUUUCUUAUAACUGCAUAUGAAUCUCCAGUGAUCUCAUAACGGUUUAGGAAAUAAAAACGUGGGCAGCCCCGGUGGCGCAGCGGUUUAGCGCCGCCUGCAGCCUGGGGUGUGAUCCUGGAGACCCAGGAUCAAGUUGCACAUCAGGCUUCCUGCAUGGAGCCUGCUUCUCCCUCCGCCUGUGUCUCUGCCUCUCUUCACUCUCUCUGAAUGAAUGAAUAAAUAAAUCUUAAAAAAAAAAAAAAAAAAAAA